GGCAAACAUGGCGGAGAGGUCUUCUGAACGGGAUCAGUCUCAGCCCAUCUUGUACCUGAAGAUGGCAGACAACAACUAUGCAGACUUGGCCUUCUUCAGUGACGCUGUGAACGUGUAUGGAUUACCUCUGAGGGUGAGAGGAGAUCACGGAGGAGAACAUGCGGGCAUAGCCGAGUUAAU